AUUGAACGCUGGCGGCAUGCCUUACACAUGCAAGUCGAACGGUAACAGGUCUUCGGAUGCUGACGAGUGGCGAACGGGUGAGUAAUACAUCGGAACGUGCCUAGUAGUGGGGGAUAACCACUCGAAAGAGUGGCUAAUACCGCAUGAGAUCUACGGAUGAAAGCAGGGGAUCGCAAGACCUUGUGCUACUAGAGCGGCCGAUGGCAGAUUAGGUAGUUGGUGGGAUAAAAGCUUACCAAGCCGACGAUCUGUAGCUGGUCUGAGAGGACGAUCAGCCACACUGGGACUUGGACACGGUCCAGACUCCUACGGGGGGCAGCAGUGGGGAAUUUUGGACAAUGGGCGAAAGCCUGAUCCAGCAAUGCCGCGUGCAGGAUGAAGGCCUUCGGGUUGUAAACUGCUUUUGUACGGAACGAAAAGCCCUGGGUUAAUACCCUGGGGUCAUGACGGUACCGUAAGAAUAAGCACCGGCUAACUACGUGCCAGCCGCCGCGGUAA
rnacentral:rRNA from 1 species